UUUGGCCGCUGCUCCGGCGCAGGCCGGAGCCUCUGACACCGCAGCAAUCCCGGUGGAGGUUCCGGCCUCUGCCGGACCAGCGUGAGGA
rnacentral:miRNA from 1 species